GGCACAGUGGCUUAGUGGUUAGCACUGUUGGCUCGCACCUCUGGGGCUAGGGGUUUGAAUCCCGCCUCUGCCC